GUCUCGCGAAGUCUCGCCAAGGUGAGAGCGUGCAUUUCAACAUGGCUCCUCACAGUGCAAGCAACGUUUCGUUCAUGAGCGCAGCGGCCAAAGGCAAUCCUCGCGUGCGCUUUUCGUCUGCUGACGACAUCGAGAGGCUGCGCGAGCAACCAGCAAAACAUUCACAGCACGCAACGUGCGCGAACGUGCGGAACUGAUGCUUUGGCGCUACUCAUCGAACGACCGGAAAAACCUCAGCAAAUCCGGCACAGAGGAAGAGUACAGUAAGAAGGAGCAGCUUUUGCACGAGAUCAUCGAAAAAAUGAAAAAUGAAGGUUUAACGAUUAGGGCACCGCGGCGUUCAAACAACGGUGCAGUAUCACAGCCGGCUCGUGGGCGCCUCACGUCGACGCAAGAAGCGGCACGACGCUCAGCAGCGACCGCGAGAGACGUAACCGCCGAAGCCUACACGUUGGAAGAUUAU
rnacentral:lncRNA from 1 species